rnacentral:sRNA from 1 species
GCAAGAUGGCACACAUCUGUAGUCCCAGCUUCUUGGGAGGCUGAGGCAGGAAAAUGACUUGAGACCAGGAGUUUGAGUCCAGCUUGGGCAACAUAGUGAGACCCCAUCUCAA